rnacentral:rRNA from 1 species
UACGUAGGGUGCGAGCGUUGUCCGGAAUUACUGGGCGUAAAGAGCUCGUAGGUGGUUUGUCGCGUUGUCCGUGAAAACUCACAGCUUAACUGUGGGCGUGCGGGCGAUACGGGCAGACUGGAGUACUGCAGGGGAGACUGGAAUUCCUGGUGUAGCGGUGGAAUGCGCAGAUAUCAGGAGGAACACCGGAGGCGAAAGCGGCUCACUGGGGCUUCACUGACGCUGAGGCACGAAAGCUAGGGGAGCAAACGGG